GGUUAACCAGCUGAUGGGUAUUGAGGAGGGCACCUGUGGUGAUGAGCCCUGGGUGUUAUAUGUAACACUCAAUGAAUCAUUGAGUAGUACAUCAGAAACUAAUGAUGUACUAUAUGCUAGCUAACUGAACAUAACAAAAAGCAAUUAUGGUAUUCCCCACACCAAAAAAACCUAAAAAACAAAAAAUCAAAGACCCUAUCUCCAAAUAUGGUCACAUUUGGAGGUCCUGGGGAUUGGGACUUCAACAUAGGAAUUGGGAGGAAAGCGGUGGGUCCAUAACACAGAGGAGGCGGUGUGAAAGCUGGUAUGUUCAGACAGCUGGGGGACAUCACGAAGUCUAGACCGUCUUCCGUUCCACACAGGAAGGCAGGAAAUCCCAGAGAGCUGGGAGUGCCUCCGCCGGGCUGGUGAAGCCGCGCACGGUGUGUGAGUGAGUUCCCACCCGAGCGCAAGCGCACGGGUGCGCACUGCCCUGUCUCCUCGCCGUGGGCCCCGUUGAUUUCAGGAGCUGCUAAGGCGCUCAGAGUAAGCUGUUCGUGGUCGGUGAUCCCGCGACCUUCCAGGGCCGUGAGCCUUUUCUCAGGCACACACGGGGGGUGUGGAGCCUUAGAGACCCCGCAGCAUAUUGGCGGGUGGCCGGGAUGUUCCGCACAUGGAGGUGGGGGGUGCUCGGCUGGGAGGGACGUCGGUGGGCUCGGCCUUUGAAAGGCUGCAAGGGAGCUGCCUGGGAGCGCAGCUUGGAGAGAGAGGGCUGUCUUCCUGCGGAGGCACAGUUAUCUCGAAUACCGCCCGUGCCCACCCUCCCCUCGCCCAAGGGGCGCCGCACGCGGGAGGAACCGUGUGCGGAGGAGGGGAGUGAGCGCUCCUUGCUCUGAAGCACCUCUGGGCACCGGAUAGCCAGAGAUGACCACGCUGGAACCAAGGACAUCGACCUCUCGCAGGAACGCCGGACACAAACAGAAGCCACAUGGGGCACCCCAACCUACGUGUACACAAAACGCGGGCCUGCCGAGGACAGAGACGUGCUCCUCCCACCUCCACGCCAGCUCUGCUUUCUAGAACGUUGUAGUAUCCAGACGGAUUAAUCUUUCCUCUUCAUUUCUUCUUUGCAGCGUUUUCUCGUUGCUCACAAUACCCUGUGUGGCCCCCACCUCUCCUCGCACACAACCUAUUGAGUAUUGGCUCUGUAGACGGACUUGCGAGGAGUGGCAGCUGGAGGCGACGGAGUCCUGUUCCCCGAGGCGCGGCUCACCUGUUCUGAUGCGCCCUAGGCGGCAUAGCGUCUCUUCAUAUAGUCCUUGCGCGUUUCUUUCCUUUUUUUUUUCUCUUAGCAGCGUUAUAUUUAAAAAAUAAUAUAUGCUCAUUUUAGACAAGUUGGAAAGUAUAGAAAAGUACAGAAGAACAGAAAAAAUUCGUUAUUAAAAAUGUAUUCCCCAGAGGUCAUUUUUAUUACAAUAUUGGCAAACAUUCCUCUAAUGUCUUGUAUAGCUUUUCAAGUAGUUGAGUUUAUGCUAGUUAAUAUAAAUGCUUUCCUUAAUGGUACAAAACAAGCAUUUCCCUGUACACUUAGUCUGAGUUUUAAAGGCUACAAACGUUUUAUAACUUAGAUGUGCCAUAAAUUUUAACCAUUCACCUUUUAUUGGAAUUUUAGGGUGUGUCCAGCUCUUUUUCACCAUCGUAAGUAAAACUGAAAUGAACAUACACAUGAAGAUACAAAAUGCUUGCACAUUUCUUUUUUUUUAAGUUUUUAUUUAUUUUAAUCAAUUUUUAUUUUAAUACAUUUCAUUUAUUUAUUUUAGAGAGACAGAGAGCAUGCACAAGCGGAGGGGGAGGGGCAGAGGGAGAGGGAGAAGCUCAAGCGGACUCCUGGCUGACCGCAGAGACCAGAGAGGAGGGGCUCGAUCUCACCACGCGUGAGACCAUGACCUGAGCCCAGACCAGAAGUUGGCCACCUAACCGGCUGAGCCACCCAGGUGCCCCGUGCACACAUCUUAAGUACAAUUCACUUAUCUGUGAGCAGCAGCGACCAGUUCCUGUCCUUUCCAGGGUUGCCGAGGCGUCGCUGACACUCAGCCCUGUGUGAGUGUAGGGCGUGCAGCGUCAUGGCUUGUAGAGCUCCAGGGACUGCCAAGAUGAGGUCACUGAACAUUCAUCAUCGCACAGAGGCUGCAAUGGAAUUUCAGCAGGCUUCACGAUGAGAUUGCAACAGACAGAAUGCAGAAGCAGAUGUGAGAAUUCACUGUGUUCCACUCAGUCAGUUGUUCAGGAGAUGUGCCAAACGAUUCUUGCUAAAGGCCCAGGGGGGCUGAGCCUUCGAGGCUGGGGGCGAGAAACCUGACGGAUGUCCAGGGGCGGCGGAGGCCUUGGCGGGAUUCUCCCUGAAGCUGGCGAGGCCAGUGGAAGGCUGGAUGAAGGCCAGUUUCAGGGUCUCCUCAAGAACGGGCUCAAAGGAACCUGAGUGAAUUCUGGUCAAGGAUUCCUCACUUCAGCCAAGACUGGAAACAGCCCAAGUGUCCAUCAACGGAGGGGGAGUGAGCUCUGGUCUAGUCUGAGGCUUCUGAUGUCCUGCAUCAUGGAGAAAGAAGACUUCAUCAUCACUGUUGAUCGUAAGUGGUUUGGCUCCUGGCGUGCUUCUGGUCAUGGCCGAAGGAAACUCUGUGAGAACGUGGGCUUAUGGAAGCAUCACCGGCGGCUUGUAGGUUGGUAUAAAAGACUGCACGGGUCCUGUCUGCCGGCAGCAGGAUGCACGACAUGGUUUAUUACUGGCAGCCCCACGUCACAUCGAAUUGUUUCCUGAAUUUCAUGAGGAGAGUAAAUAAAGCUUUGUUUACUGAACAUGGGAUGAAAUAGAAUUUCUUUUUUUUUUUUUUUUAAAGAUUUUAUUUAUUUAUUUGACAGAGAUAGAGACAGCCAGCGAGAGAGGGAACACAAGCAGGGGGAGUGG